UUGAACGCUGGCGGCAUGCCUUACACAUGCAGGUCGAACGGCAGCACGGGGGCAACCCUGGUGGCGAGUGGCGAACGGGUGAGUAAUGCAUCGGAACGUGCCCAGUAGUGGGGGAUAACUAGUCGAAAGAUUAGCUAAUACCGCAUACGACCUAUGGGUGGAAAGACGGGGGAGUUCGCAAGAACCUCGCGCUAUCGGAGCGGCCGAUGUCUGAUUAGCUAGUUGGCGGGGUAAAAGGCCCACCAAGGCGACGAUCAGUAGCUGGUCUGAGAGGACGACCAGCCACACUGGGACUGA
rnacentral:rRNA from 1 species